CACAUGCGGAUCAUGUACAUAUUAACCAAACUAUGCUCAUUUGCAUGAACUCUAACCUUUGAACAACAAUGGUGGAGCCGGUGCCACAGUUUAUACCCCAACAUCUGAUCUGUCCACUCACUAAGAAGAUGUUUGUUGACCCUGUGAGAACAGUGUAUGGUACUGUGUAUGAACGCAAAGCCAUUGAGGAACACCUGAAGCAACACAAGUACGAUCCGACCGCUGGCCCAGGAAAUGAGCUUGAAAUGAGUGACAUAAGAGCAGACCAGGACAUGAAGAAAAUGGUGACGGAUCACCGUUCUCGUCAAAUUCAGAUUGACGUUACAGCGGAGUAGUUUUACAGUUCAUUAUGAAAAAGAAAAUCAACCAGCUACUCUUAAUCCUUUAUCAUUGCAAGUUUUUCUUUUGGGAUUUAUAUUGGUAUGUUCUUUGUUCUGUCAGUUGGGAAAGGUUUGUGCAGAUUAUUUUCAUUAAAGUAACUAAUCAUUCAUCUUUCAUUCUAACUUUAAUGAACAUCGAUGGACAGUUAUUUGUUUUCUCUGUUGGGAUGAUUGUGUUAAAAGUUACUUGUUACCGUUUGAUUUUUCAUUGUUUUAAUCCAUGCUGUGCUAUUUCCUUACUCACUGUUUUAUCAUUUAAAUAUGUUGUAGAAAUGUUGAAUAUAUUGAAUCAAAACAACAGUUCAUUGCAUGUUGUAUUAGUGAUGGCAGAAGAAAAAAAGAUUUGCGUAAUACAUGCAGCAUUUUAUGAUGUAUACUGAUUAUUAAGUCACACCCAAGUGGAACUUGUAUUUAACCUGAUUGUUUUAAGUGAAAGGAUGAAUAUUGAAGCAAAACCUAUUAAAGACUACUUUUCUCUCAAUAAAAUGAUUC